rnacentral:rRNA from 1 species
UACGUAGGCAGCAAGCGUUGUUCGGAGUUACUGGGCGUAAAGGGUGUGUAGGCGGUUGUUUAAGUUUGGUGUGAAAUCUCCCGGCUCAACCGGGAGGGUGCGCCGAAUACUGAAUGACUUGGAGUGCGGGAGAGGAAAGUGGAAUUCCUGGUGUAGCGGUGAAAUGCGUGAGAUAUCAGGAGGAACACCGGUGGUGUAGACGGCUUUCUGGACCGUAACUGACGCUGAGACACGAAAGCGUGGGUAGCAAACAGG